UAAUAAUAGCUCCAUUCUCAUAAAUGGAAUAAUAUCAUCAUCAUCCUAGGGGUGAGUUGCUAGGUAACAAGCCUGGCUGCAGUGCUCUUUUCUUUCACAUGUGGUGAUGGGCCUUUCACCCUCCCAUCCCAGGGGGUGAUACAGCACAAAGAUCCUCACCAAAGACCAGCACUGUGCUCUUGGACUUAAGAGAAAUAAAGAAUCAUGAAAAAUAAGCUGGGAAUGGUGACUGGUGCCUGCAGUCCAAUCUACUCACGUGGUGGGUCUAUGUGGCUGUGCUGUCAUGGACACAGCUGUGUUCCAGAGGCCAACAUGAGCCUAAAGAAAGUUCAUCUGAGGAAGAAGCUUGGCAGAGGUGCCUCAAAUUUGUCAACAAUCCUAGAAAUUUACAUGAUAUUACCAAGCAAGAAUUGAAAAGCUAAAAGGAACUUUUCUAAACUGAUGAUAAUAAAAAACCAAUUUGAUCAACCGUGCUAGAGGGAAGACUGAAUCAUCUUUACAGAUGAUUUUUAUAGUCUCUCCAUAACAAUUUCACAAAAUCAUUGUCUUGUGAAAAGGAAAUCAAAGAAUAUGCAGCCAAAAAAUUGUAGGGGAAAAAAGUAUAUUAAAGAGGUGUGCAGGUAGUUAGUUAACAAAAAAUAUUAUGUUCUGUUUCUUGAUCAUGUGAUGUCUGAGCUAUUUGGCAGCUUUUUUUAAUAAUAGACUUUUUUGAGUGGUUUUUGGUUUGCAAAAAAUCGAGCAGAAAGUACAAAGCGUCCACAUGCAUCUCAUCACAUACACUCCCAUCCCAGAUUAUUUGGCAGCUUUUU
rnacentral:lncRNA from 1 species